rnacentral:lncRNA from 1 species
UCAAUACACCUACACCAAUCACACUUCUUUUUCCUUUUCAUUUCAGUGCACUGAAUUCACUCACCAUAGCUACUUAUUUUCUCUCAAUCUGUUAGGGUUUCUUUUAAUUUUAGGCUUUCAAUACAGUUUCCUUUUAAACUGGAAGGAGUUGAAAGAUAAAGGAAACAAAGAGGGAGUAAGGCUGUUCGCUGAAAUAAAGAGAUAAAAAAAAAGGUUGAAGAAGAUGAUUUUCAGGUUUUUUUUACGGUAAGGUGUUCCACGAGCACCUUCUUGGAAUUAACUGUGUUAAAUGGAGCUCCUUCCUUUUCACUGUUUACUUGGCAUAUUGGUUGGUUACAAUGUAUAACUCUCUCUUUAGUGUAAUUUCUUUGCUUUGAUUAUAGUAAUUUGUCUAACCGGGUUGUCACUUGGCUACAACUUUUGGAAUCCAUGGUUUAUUGUGUGAGUGGUUUCGAUGAAGCUGUGGGGAGUUUGCGAUUUCAUCUGUUUUAAUUUUAUCUACAUUUUGAGUUAUUAACUCUCAUCUUUACACAUUUUAUAUGCUUCCUUUCAAGCGUAGAGAUCCCCAAGUUUGUUGACACAGGCACUCCUCAAUUCAAACCGAAAUUUGAUGCAUUG